rnacentral:sRNA from 1 species
UCCACUCGUACAGAAGCGUGGUGUCAGACGCUGGCGGCGGCCGAGACGAUCCUCGUGAUAAGCGAUUGGAGACUGUUCAUUCAAAAAACGAUUCGGAUUAGCGGUCUUUCCCGAUCUCGUAAAUGUGCUUGCUGUCGCUCGACCAGUGUUGAAGGCAAAUGAGGGCAAGACGUCCGCAUGUGCGAAGCCUCGAAGUGAACUUUCAAUUGGUGCUCUCUACGUAGCGAGCCGACGAUGUCUUCAAUACAAUUGGAAGUACCCGUGCCGAGGUUACAGGAGCGACGGCAAUCGUGUCGCCCAGAGCGUAAAGUGGUUCUCCCCACGAGCAAGCGCGGCCCAGACUCGAAGUACUCGUGGCUCGUUGCUCUGGCCUGCGGGGGAGUUAACUUGUUCAUGCAUGGCUCUUCAAAGGUUGUGGGUGUACUUUUCGUAGCUUGGAUCGCCGAGUUGAAAUGUUCCCGACAGAUGGCCGCAUGGCCUUUCGCCCUACACACCACGCUUAUUCAUCUUGCAGGACCUGUCUUUGGUUUACUAUCGAGGCGGCUACCAAUCAGAAUCAUAAUAAUAGUGUCUUCGUUUCUAUCGGCUCUGUCGGUAGCCUUGUGUUAUUUCGCUCCGGAUAUCUUCUGGCUGUCCGUACUCUUUGGCGUCGUCCACGGAGCUGCGACAUGCGGCGCCGUGCUGAUGACGCAGGUUUGCAUAAAUCAGCAUUUCGUCGAAAAACGAGGAACUGCAGCCGGUGUUGUGGAAGCUCUAGCAGCGAUAAACGGCAUUGUUUUCCCCCCUCUGUUGGAAUAUUCUCUCCGAUCAUACGGUCUCCACUGGUCGAUGCUCCUGCUCGGCGGAUGCGUCUUGAAUGCUUUGGCGUUCUCGUUCUCGGUCAGAUCGCCGUCCUGGAUGGUUCAGGAUCCUAAGCAGCGACGGAAAAGCAUUUUCAACAACGCGGUUGUCGCCAACAAAGGUUUGGCCAGUUGGAUAAAUCACUUUCAAGAGCAAGUGGAGGAGGACUCUUCGGAAGACGAAGAAGACAAGAAACAAUAUCAGGGGGAUAUCAGAUACUACGUCAGUGAGGGCGGCGGUGUCGCUACGUCUCAGGUGGAUACCGAAGUCCAGCUGGCGAGUAUCAUACAUCAGAUCAACGAUUCUUCGAAGUUCAUACAGCGCGACGGGAAACUCGACUUCAGCACCAUCCGCAGAGACCUCCAGAGUGCUCCCACGACGAAUAAAAGAGCUAAGAUUGUCGUGGAGCCUGGAGAUGAAGCGGCUCCAGUGAAAGCUCCAACAGGGGUGAAUGCUGAGCCCGCGGCAGCGCAAACGAACGCCGACCCCAGCGCGAGUCAGGUUCGACUUUCUGCGGUCCAAAUCGAUGAAUUGUACGGACGGUCUACCGGGAGGAAAAAAUUCCAGCAAUACUUUCGCUAACAGGUUCUUCUGAUGCCCUUUCCGCACAUUCCGACCGGUUACACUUUGUAUUCGGAGUUCCGCCGGAGCUCGACCACCAUAAAUCGCAUGCCUAAGCUGCCGAAAGUCCGACGCAUCAAGGAGUGCUCCUCUGAAGGACCCUGCGAGUAUCACGACAGCAGGCGAUACAGGCUAUGGAAACGAGUCCGGCCCUUCCUCACCAUCACCUUCUGGCACUUGACACUGUCCCAAUUCCUAGUGCAACUGUGCCUCGGGGUUUUUCUGCUGACCAUUCUUGAUUUCGCGACGGACAAGGGCUUCACAACGGACGUAUCGGUAUAUCUGGUGUCGGCAUUCUGUUUGGGCGAUCUCAUGGCUCGACUUAUCACAGGAUACAUUGCGGAUGUAGAUCUUCUUCCGAUGGAGCUCAUCGUUUUAGUCGCCUGUUCCCUGCAGAGUGCCAUGUUCCAAUGCUUGAUGCACUCCCGCUCUUACAUAGCGCUUGUGCUCACCGCUCUGGGAAUGGGCUGCUCACACGGAGCGAGGAUCUUCUUGCUGCCGAUGUUCAUUACUAAAAGUUUCGGCUUGCGAAGACUGACGCUCAACGUUUCAAUCGCCUCGUGUAUCUGCGGUCUCUUGAUGUUGAUCAGACCCUUCGUGAUUGGCGUUUACCGGGACGGCCAGGGAUCCUACAGAGAGCUGUAUCGGGUACUCUGCGUGGCGAACGCAUGCUUUGCAUUCACGUGGCUCUUCAAGCUGAUGCUGGUCAGGCGGCGUGACCGGCCCAACGUGACGCUCUAGCCAUCCAUCGGGAUUCUCCCGCGACUAUGAUGACCAGUGUCGGAAUCGGGUGUAUGUUCUGCGCACCAAAACUUGCGAUUCUGCGCCUGAAUUGCCUUUGUUUAUGCUUGUCAGCGACGCUGGGCGGAAAAACAUGGACAUUCGCCUCCGGUCCCGAUCCAGAUGGCUUACGACGCCACUCUUACGCUCAGGAGUUCCAGAGGGAUCGGAGCAUACGAUUACCAGACACGAUAUGAUAGCUAGCGCUAUGGAUUACAAGGAAGAGAUUCGACGGGUGGAAAAAUUGAAGCCGCAUCUCAGACUUCAUCGUAUCCAA